GACGAACGCUGGCGGCGUGCUUAACACAUGCAAGUCGAACGGAAAGGCCCUGCUUUUGUGGGGUGCUCGAGUGGCGAACGGGUGAGUAACACGUGAGUAACCUGCCCUUGACUUUGGGAUAACUUCAGGAAACUGGGGCUAAUGCCGGAUAGGAGCUCCUGCUGCAUGGUGGGGGUUGGAAAGUUUCGGCGGUUGGGGAUGGACUCGCGGCUUAUCAGCUUGUUGGUGGGGUAGUGGCUUACCAAGGCUUUGACGGGUAGCCGGCCUGAGAGGGUGACCGGCCACAUUGGGACUGAGAUACGGCCCAGACUCCUACGGGAGGCAGCAGUGGGGAAUAUUGCACAAUGGGCGGAAGCCUGAUGCAGCAACGCCGCGUGCGGGAUGACGGCCUUCGGGUUGUAAACCGCUUUCGCCUGUGACGAAGCGUGAGUGACGGUAAUGGGUAAAGAAGCACCGGCUAACUACAUG
rnacentral:rRNA from 1 species